CGAUAAAAUCUGAUUACAAGAUGUAGUCAGAUUUUGGUAACUUCUAAAACUAA
rnacentral:sRNA from 18 species